CUCGGACGAAUCUAGUGUAACACAGCAGGUGGAAGGAAGGACAUUUUCUGACAGAAAGUCUUUUCGCAUUGUGUCGUGUCCUGAGACUUUACACCUCUUAUGAUGAAAUCCAGACGACGCUCUUCAGGAAAAUCUCCACAGGCUCCUGCUGCUACUGGCUCAAAGGUAAUGUCACCACGUCUUGGUAAAGUUGGCAUUUGAAUAUAAUAUGGGAAAUUUACUAAAUGUAUCAAACAUUUUACUAAUGUACAUGAAUCAAGGUCUGAAUUUUAUUAUCUUUUGACAUUGUCAUACAUCAAUGGCAAAUAUCUGCCAGCAAAAGGGAAAUUUACAACACCCACCAACCAUUCUGCUCAGUAUUAUGGUGAUUAUUCAUAAUAUUAUAUCUUUGUGAAUGAAAGAGAUUUUUUAAUGAAGGCAUGAGACUUCUCUAUGAAGUUUAAAUUGUUAGCAGUGUGCAGAAUCGGAUUUUUGGAGUACUGCACAUGCGCCUAAUUUUGCCAGUAACGAUUUCCAAGGACAGACGGACGCUAAGGAAAAGUUCUUUCACAGACACUCUUUUCCAGUCCAGAAUGAACACUGAAAAGAGAGAGAGACACACAGGAGCAGCAGGACCAGAGACAGGCUCCACAGCAGCAACAACAUGACCAAGAUGAUAAGACACUUGUACUUUUUGAAGAAUAAGGCUUUUUUUUCCUUGGUUACAAUAACUUAAUUUAUAUGAUAAGUUAAUCAUUUAUGAAUCGAUAAUAUUUAUGAAGUUUAUUUGUUUUUUGUUCUACAUAUGAAUUUGUUGGUAAGACUAAAAUAUAAUUAUUUAGCUUAAUGUCUGUGUACUGGCUUAGUAUGUUUGGGGGAAUGACAAAAUGCUGAUGAAUAAAUGCUAUAAAUUUG